GUUUGUUUUAGGAUAAGAGAGGUUGGUAAAUAUAUAGGGGAGACGGAUCCAUUCUUCUUAUUCACGAUUAAGACCCAUCUUUCAUCUUCCUCAUCACCACUCACCAUCCCUUCCGCCAGCAUCCUCCGUCCUGAAACUGUUCCCCUUACUCCUUCCGUCUCCUCACCAAAUACAUCCGCCGCUCACCUCACUUGUUCACCAUCAACAUCAUCGCUGACCGUUUAUCAUUCGUUCCCACCAUCACCUUCCAUCAUCUUCAACCAUCAUCAAUCGCAUAACUUCCAUCUCUAUUCCGCUAUCCAACCUCUGUUCUUCACGGGAAGCAUCACUCCGCUUCAGUCUCAUCGUUCCACCGUAUUCAUCAACAACAGUUUCAAACCUCACCGUAACUAUCCUCCGUUCUCCCUUCUUCACUCUGAUUUCCCUUCACCGUCAUAA